rnacentral:rRNA from 1 species
GGGUGCGUAAUACGUGAGAAUCUGCCCUUAGGAGAAGAAUAACUGCUGGAAACGGCUGCUAAAUCUUCAUAUGCCGAGAGGUGAAAUAGCUUCGGCUGCCAAAGGAUGAGCUCACGCCUGAUUAGCUAGUUGGUAAGGUAAUGGCUUACCAAGGCCACGAUCAGUAGCUGGUUUGAGAGAACGAUCAGCCACACUGGGACUGAGACACGGCCCAGACUCCUCCGGGAGGCAGCAGUGAGGAAUUUUCCGCAAUGGGCGAAAGCCUGACGGAGCAAUACCGCGUGAGGGAUGAAGGAUUUUGGUCUGUAAACCUCUUUUCUCAAGAAAGAAGUUCUGACGGUACUUGAGGAAUAAGCAUCGGCUAACUCCGUGCCAGCAGCCGCGGUAAUACGGGGGAUGCAAGCGUUAUCCGGAAUCAUUGGGCGUAAAGCGCC